UACGUAGGGUGCAAGCGUUGUCCGGAAUUAUUGGGCGUAAAGAGCUCGUAGGCGGUCUGUCGCGUCGGCUGUGAAAUCCCGAGGCUCAACCUCGGGUCUGCAGUCGAUACGGGCAAACUUGAGUGUUGCAGGGGAGACUGGAAUUCCUGGUGUAGCGGUGAAAUGCGUAGAUAUCUGGAGGAACACCGGUGGCGAAGGCGGCAUCCUGGACCGGCAUUGACGCUGAGGAGCGAAAGCCAGGGGAGCAACGGG
rnacentral:rRNA from 1 species